AAACGAUGAUCACUAGACAUGCGACAUACUGUCGGUGUCAAAGCGAAAGUAUUAAGUGAUCCACUGGGGAGUACGCCGGCAACGGUGAAACUCAAAGGAAUUGACGGGGGCCCGCACAAGCGGUGGAGCAUGUGGUUUAAUUCGAUGAUACGCGAGGAACCUUACCUGGGCUUAAAUGCAGAACGACCUCCCGAGAAAUCGGGAUUUCUUCGGACGGACUGCAAGGUGCUGCAUGGUUGUCGUCAGCUCGUGCCGUGAGGUGUCGGGUUAAGUCCCAUAACGAGCGCAACCCCUAUCGUUAGUUGCCAGCGGAUAAUGCCGGGGACUCUAACGAAACUGCCCGUGCAAGCGGAGAGGAAGGUGGGGAUGACGUCAAAUCAUCACGGCCCUUACGUCCAGGGCUACACACGUGCUACAAUGGCGCAUACAAAGGGCAGCUACCACGCGAGUGGAUGCUAAUCUCUAAAGUGCGUCUCAGUUCGGAUUGAAGUCUGCAACUCGACUUCAUGAAGCUGGAAUCGCUAGUAAUCGCGCAUCAGCCAUGGCGCGGUGAAUACGUUCCCGGGCCUUGUACACACCGCCCGUCAAGCCAUGGAAGCUGGGGGUGCCUGAAGUCGGUGACCGCAAGGAGCCGCCUAGGGCAAAACUAGUAACUGGGGCUAAGUCGUAACAAGGUAACCAAGGGCGAA
rnacentral:rRNA from 1 species